CGGACGGGUGAGUAAUGUCUGGGAAACUGCCCGAUGGAGGGGGGUAACUACUGGAAACGGUAGCUAAUACCGCAUAACGUCGCAAGACCAAAGAGGGGGACCUUCGGGCCUCUUGCCAUCGGAUGUGCCCAGAUGGGAUUAGCUAGUAGGUGGGGUAACGGCUCACCUAGGCGACGAUCCCUAGCUGGUCUGAGAGGAUGACCAGCCACACUGGAACUGAGACACGGCCAG
rnacentral:rRNA from 1 species